AGAGUUUGAUCAUGGCUCAGGACGAACGCUGGCGGCGUGCUUAACACAUGCAAGUCGAACGGAAAGGCCCUUCGGGGUACUCGAGUGGCGAACGGGUGAGUAACACGUGGGUGAUCUGCCCUGCACUCUGGGAUAAGCCUGGGAAACUGGGUCUAAUACCGAAUAGGACCGCGCUCUUCAUGGGGUGUGGUGGAAAGCUUUUGCGGUGUGGGAUGGGCCCGCGGCCUAUCAGCUUGUUGGUGGGGUAAUGGCCUACCAAGGCGACGACGGGUAGCCGGCCUGAGAGGGUGACCGGCCACACUGGGGCUGAGAUACGGCCCAGACUCCUACGGGAGGCAGCAGUGGGGAAUAUUGCACAAUGGGCGCAAGCCUGAUGCAGCGACGCCGCGUGAGGGAUGACGGCCUUCGGGUUGUAAACCUCUUUCAAUAGGGACGAAGCGCAAGUGACGGUACCUAUAGAAGAAGGACCGGCCAACUACGUGCCAGCAGCCGCGGUAAUACGUAGGGUCCGAGCGUUGUCCGGAAUUACUGGGCGUAAAGAGCUCGUAGGUGGUUUGUCGCGUUGUUCGUGAAAACUCACAGCUUAACUGUGGGCGUGCGGGCGAUACGGGCAGACUAGAGUACUGCAGGGGAGACUGGAAUUCCUGGUGUAGCGGUGGAAUGCGCAGAUAUCAGGAGGAACACCGGUGGCGAAGGCGGGUCUCUGGGCAGUAACUGACGCUGAGGAGCGAAAGCGUGGGGAGCGAACAGGAUUAGAUACCCUGGUAGUCCAA
rnacentral:rRNA from 1 species